CUUCUGUUGGGGAGCACGUGUUUUGACUCAUAGCCCAUCCAGCCCCAAAUUUGUCUGUGGCGUGCCUGAUGCUCCCAGGAAGUUAGUACACAAACACUGCUUAACGGUGGAGUUGGGGACUUAAGACAAUCUGCCUUCAAACACAAAGCUUUUCCUACUGCAAUGCAGCUGUUGUGAGCAGCUGCUGAAAUAAAAGAGCGUUGUGCUCUGCAACUCGG